GAAAACAAAAAGGAUGUGGUGGUGAACCUGGAGUGAGAGAGUGUCAGGGCUUCCACCCUGCAGUCCGAAGUGCAGCACCAGGAUACCCAGCUGAACAGAGCCUCGCUGUGCGUUGGGCCGGCAGCGCUAUGGAUUCUCUGAGCAGCGAGUGCCCGGGCUGUGCCCAGCUUGGUCAGCGCCUGCCCUGGUGCUGCUGGUCCCGCAGCCGGCGGCUCACUGCGGGGAAGAGGGCAGAUUUGUGUUACAGGGCUGUCCCCAACUGCACCACCCACAUCCAAGGUGUUAUUUACAGAUCUGCCUUCUGUUCCCCUCUUAACUCAGGAUUUGCCAUUACUGAAUGCAGGACAAGCUACAAGGAGUGAAAUGUGAUGGAUGAUACAUGCAUCUUUUCAAAGUUGAUUGCAGCAGGUUGCCUGAAUUUUUAAUACUGCUCCUUGAUGCAGUGUGCUUGAUUAUUUUUUUUCCCCCUAGUUUCAUUAUAAUCCUCGUUUCUGUGCCAGUGAAAAUGGAGCUUCUGCUCUCAGAGCAAAAUUUCUUGUCCUCAUUCAGCAAAUGGGUGGAUGAUGUUUUUUUCUUUUACGGGGACAGAGAAGCAAGGACCUGGCGACUUGCCCUCGUGCAGGCUGCUGUCAGCGUGGCAGUUUUCAUCCAUUGCCAGCUGCUGUCGAAGAGAAGUGAACUGAUACUUUACCUGCAGUUUAAGGACAGGAGACAACUAUUUCUGAUCUUUUUGGGGUUUUGUAACAACUAUUUAUUUUAAUUUUUUUUUUUUUCUUCCUCAAGUGUGGUUGUUUUCAGUUUUUCUGCUAGGAAAUGUGUGUCUUAUAUAAGCUGCUAAUACUCUGCUUUAGGCAGAACACGGUGCUUGGAGCUUAUGUAGGCUGAUUUCAGGGAAACUAGCAGCAUUAUUGAUUUUCAUUGGGCUUAUUAGGAUCAGCGUAACAUGCACUUUUGCUAUACCAGAUUGUAUUUGGCUUUCAUCAUGAAAUCUCAUUACACUAAAAAGAAAUGGAAACAAGUUAUGCAAGUAAAAGAUUUUGCAGAGUACUCUAAUAAAAUUUACUCUGCAUCUGUGAAAACACACUUUGGAUGUAGGUCGUUCAAACUCUGAAUGCUGCUGGUCGGACUCUUGUUCUCAUUUGCUUUUGAAAAUUAAGAAUAAAUUCUCCAAUCUCAGUGGAAUUAUUUCAGAUUUAUGCUAACAUAACUGAAGGUAUAGCUUGGUCCUUGAGGUAGUCAUGCUCCCUGUAUCCUGAUGUUGAAUCGGUGAUUUACUAGGAAAAAGAAGUCCCAGUUGUUUGUCUGCUUGCAGCUGAGAGGGAAUAUAUUACAUUAUAAAGGUGUGGGAUGCACGUGGCUGUGGGCACACUCCUCCUAGAUGCCUAGCCAGGAUGGUGAAUGAACAAGAAGCUUGUUUUCACCCUUUUUGUUCUUGCAGUACGGCAGCUAGUUGUGGUUUGCCUAUUGACAACGGUGGAGGAAGCACCAGCUGGCAGCACAGCGUAUCUCCUCGGUGAAGCAUCGAAGGCAUAAAGUCCUCCCUCCUGAAGCUCAGAGGAUCAAGUUGCCACCCUGGCUUUCCUCUUCUGAGCCCAAUUCAUCACGGAUGCUCCUGUGUCCAAACCCUGACUCUUCUCCAGUAUUCUGUGAGUUUCUCAUGUUGUGCUGGCAGGGUGGAGAUCAGUCUGUUUAUGUCAUUCCCAGCCCAUGAGUGCCUGGACUCUGGGGAGAGCAAACCUCCCCUGCUGCAGGUGUCCCGAUGCCACUGAGAUGAUGUUCCCAGGGCUGUGCAGGGCUGGGGAUGGCAGUGAUGCCCUCUUGCCUGCAGUGGGGUGGCAGCAAGCCUGGGGCAUGUCUCUGUGGGGCGAGGCCUCCUGUCGUGGCUUUUCAAGCAAGUUUGCAGGGUUGAG